GAUGAACGCUGGCGGCGUGCCUAAUACAUGCAAGUCGAGCGAACAGAUGAGGAGCUUGCUCCUCUGACGUUAGCGGCGGACGGGUGAGUAACACGUGGAUAACCUACCUAUAAGACUGGGAUAACUUCGGGAAACCGGAGCUACUACCGGAUAAUAUAUUGAACCGCAUGGUUCAAUAGUUAAAGACGGUUUUGCUGUCACUUAUAGAUGGAUCCGCGCCGCAUUAGCUAGUUGGUAAGGUAACGGCUUACCAAGGCAACGAUGCGUAGCCGACCUGAGAGGGUGAUCAGCCACACUGGAACUGAGACACGGUCCAGACUCCUACGGGAGGCAGCAGUAGGGAAUAUUCGGCAAUGGGCGAAAGCCUGACGGAGCAACGCCGCGUGAGUGAUGAAGGUCUUCGGAUCGUAAAACUCUGUUAUUAGGGAAGAACAAAUGUGUAAGUAACUAUGCACGUCUUGACGGUACCUAAUCAGAAAGCCACGGCUAACUACGUG
rnacentral:rRNA from 1 species